rnacentral:rRNA from 1 species
UGCGGAGGGUGCAAGCGUUAUCCGGAUUCACUGGGUUUAAAGGGUGCGUAGGCGGGUAUAUAAGUCAGUGGUGAAAGCUCCGGGCUUAACUUGGAAACUGCCAUUGAUACUGUAUAUCUUGAAUGUCGUUGAGGUUAGCGGAAUGUUGCAUGUAGCGGUGAAAUGCUUAGAUAUGUUACAGAACACCAAUUGUGAAGACAGCUAACUAAGCGAUGAUUGACGCUGAGGCACGAAAGCGUGGGGAGCAAACAGG